CCUACGGGAGGCAGCAGUGGGGAAUAUUGGACAAUGGGCGCAAGCCUGAUCCAGCAAUGCCGCGUGUGUGAAGAAGGCCUGCGGGUUGUAAAGCACUUUCGGUGGGGAGAAAGACCUUGCUCUGAAUAAGGGUGAGAGAUGAUGUUACCCACAGAAGAAGCACCGGCUAACUCUGUGCCAGCAGCCGCGGUAAU
rnacentral:rRNA from 1 species